AGGAACCUCGAGUCCAUGCGAGUUGCGUGUUCGUGUGGAAUGCCACGAGAGCAGCAGUGAUCCUGAGAGCUUCGCCUCGAGACCCAUGGAUGAGCCUGGUGUCCGGCCGCAUCAAUUCAGCCGAGCCACGUUGAGCAGCUCGUCCUCCUGAUGCAUUGUUUGGCGGCGCGGGUGCUGUUGUGCCUCAGCACAAAGGCCACAGCG
rnacentral:lncRNA from 1 species